rnacentral:rRNA from 1 species
UACGGAGGGGGCUAGCGUUGUUCGGAAUUACUGGGCGUAAAGCGCACGUAGGCGGCUUUGUAAGUUAGAGGUGAAAGCCCGGGGCUCAACUCCGGAAUUGCCUUUAAGACUGCAUCGCUAGAAUUGUGGAGAGGUGAGUGGAAUUCCGAGUGUAGAGGUGAAAUUCGUAGAUAUCGGGAGGAACACCAGUGGCGAAGGCGGCGACCUGGACAGAUAUUGACGCUGAGGUGCGAAAGCGUGGGGAGCAAACAGG